AAGAAAUCAACCGAGAUUCCCCCAGUAGCGGCGAGCGAACGGGGAGCAGCCCAGAGCCUGAAUCAGUAUGUGUGUUAGUGGAAGCGUCUGGAAAGGCGCGCGAUACAGGGUGACAGCCCCGUACACAAAAAUGCACAUGCUGUGAGCUCGAUGAGUAGGGCGGGACACGUGGUAUCCUGUCUGAAUAUGGGGGGACCAUCCUCCAAGGCUAAAUACUCCUGACUGACCGAUAGUGAACCAGUACCGUGAGGGAAAGGCGAAAAGAACCCCGGCGAGGGGAGUGAAAAAGAACCUGAAACCGUGUACGUACAAGCAGUGGGAGCACGCUUAGGCGUGUGACUGCGUACCUUUUGUAUAAUGGGUCAGCGACUUAUAUUCUGUAGCAAGGUUAACCGAAUAGGGGAGCCGAAGGGAAACCGAGUCUUAACUGGGCGUUAAGUUGCAGGGUAUAGACCCGAAACCCGGUGAUCUAGCCAUGGGCAGGUUGAAGGUUGGGUAACACUAACUGGAGGACCGAACCGACUAAUGUUGAAAAAUUAGCGGAUGACUUGUGGCUGGGGGUGAAAGGCCAAUCAAACCGGGAGAUAGCUGGUUCUCCCCGAAAGCUAUUUAGGUAGCGCCUCGUGAAUUCAUCUCCGGGGGUAGAGCACUGUUUCGGCAAGGGGGUCAUCCCGACUUACCAACCCGAUGCAAACUGCGAAUACCGGAGAAUGUUAUCACGGGAGACACACGGCGGGUGCUAACGUCCGUCGUGAAGAGGGAAACAACCCAGACCGCCAGCUAAGGUCCCAAAGUCAUGGUUAAGUGGGAAACGAUGUGGGAAGGCCCAGACAGCCAGGAUGUUGGCUUAGAAGCAGCCAUCAUUUAAAGAAAGCGUAAUAGCUCACUGGUCGAGUCGGCCUGCGCGGAAGAUGUAACGGGGCUAAACCAUGCAC
rnacentral:rRNA from 1 species